rnacentral:lncRNA from 1 species
ACCCUAGAUCAAGAGGAGAGGCUCUCCAGAUUUGCUGACCUAGAAGGAUAAGUCUGAAAGUAGGAGGGUGGGGAGAGCCAGAUGAACAAGGGAGGUGAAAACGUGAUCUAGGGAGGCAUCCGAGUGAGCAAAGGCACGAGUGAGCCUGGUACACUUCUGGGCAGGCAGAAGGAAGGCAGUUAGGCUGUUAGGAAGGCAGUUAGGCUGCAGUGAAUUCUACAAAGAGGCUAUGGGAAAGAAACCUGGAAAGGUAGGGAGGUAUGGAUAUGGACAAGCUAUGCCAAGGAGCAGGGCUUUGUCAUGGAGAGUGACUAGGUGCUUUUACAUAGGAAAGUCACCUGAUAAUAUUAAAACCUGUGAAAUAUCACUCUGGUGGAAGUGUGAAUGAAUUUGAAAGGGGUGUAACACUGUUCUACUUUGUUUACUCCUCAGUACCCUUGGCUGUGUACAUUUGAGUAAAGAGAGCACUAUAAAAUCAAAAACCAAUGAAAUGGUUUCCAGAACACAGAACUAUUAAGCUUAAGAAAAGGACAGAAGGAACUGAAGAGAGAGGAACUGUUUUGGAGCAUCACACUUCCACCUCAGAAGAAAUAAGGAAGGAAGGAGGAGGGUGUUCCCACGGCUCUUCAACCAGGCCGGCUCUUCAGCCUACAUCCCCAUCUCAUCAAGUAAAAGGGAUUUUUCAACUGGACCAACCAGAUGGUUUAACAGUGCACUCCCACACCAUUCAACUACGCAAGGGAGAUACACUUAACAUAUGCAGUCGUAUAACACCUACUAACAUUUUCAAACAUUAAACCUUUAAAAAAGAGUUCUAAAGAAAUAGAAGCUUGAAGUAUCAUCUCUCAAGUAUAUAGACACUACUUCAUGGUGUGGUAAUAUAUGCAUAUAGAAGCUAGUAAACACCUCCAGGAGAUGCAAAAGGAAUUAGAACUGCCACAAGGUGCAAGCAAAACCUUGAGUUCUGUUUUUCCUCUUCUAAUCCUUCACCCAUCUGAGCUAAAGUCUAGACCUAAGGAGGCUACUAAUUCAGGGAUCGAGUAAUCUGCCAAGCAAGAGUUUAUUCAAGCACAGUUUGAAAUAAAGGUUUCAAAUGCAUAGCCUGUCGAUACUUUGGAAGGAUUCUCAUCAUAACGAGAUAUGGGAGGACACCUGAGACGGCAGGCCAGAAGUCACUCAGUAGGAGAAACAUCCGUUAGAAGUAAUAAUGUGGGAUUGCUGAAGUAAAGACUAUAGGAAGAAAAAAGUGUCUGUGUGUAGGAAACGGAAAGGGAGAGAAAAAUACACUGAGAUGGUAAAGUAAGGAAGUGGAAGAUCAGCAGAAUGUGCAGAUGCCAAGCCAUCCAAGAAAAUCAUCUCUUGUGAUUGUUGCGAAGUCAACUAGCUAAUGUGACUCACUGCUAGGCUGUUGGAUCUGAGACUUAUGUGGGAUAAUUUAGAAACUUGCUAGUGUCUUAAGAUCAAUUACUCACCAAUGAGAGUGGCAUUGAACUGUGAAUGUUCCUCCUAGAUUUUCCAUGAAGACUAAUGGUUUUGUCUUGUCUUGAAUUUGUUUUAAUUACAAUUUGUAUACAUCCUGUUCCACCCUGAAAUUUUUAUUUUCCAAAUGGUUUUUCAUUUAAAGAGACUAAAUAAAGGUUCUGACUGAGUUGUACUUGUGGGAACUCCAAAAUCUUUUUAUAGGAAGCUAUUUUCAUCAAAUAGUGUUGAGAAUCAAGUUUCCAGUUGGAGAAAAUAACAGAGACAUGCAAAUUCAGGAUGUAGCUGUACAGCAAUGUUAGUGAAGAGAGAAAAUUUUGAGUCAUUUAGACAUUAACCAUUAAGCAUCUGGAUUUUUUUAAAUGUUAAGACAGAAAAAAAUACCUGUAUGUCAACCAAAAUUUUAUUUAAUUUAGUGAACUGUGAUAGGGACUCCUCUCUGCUCAUCCAAAUCCAGGUUUUC